rnacentral:rRNA from 1 species
CCUACGGGAGGCAGCAGUGAGGAAUAUUGGUCAAUGGACGAGAGUCUGAACCAGCCAAGUCGCGUGAAGGAUGACUGCCCUAUGGGUUGUAAACUUCUUUUAUAUGGGAAUAAAAUGUUCCACGUGUGGGAUUUUGUAUGUACCAUAUGAUUAACGAUCGGCUAACUCCGGUCCAGCCGCCGCGGUCAUACGGCGGAUCCGAGCGUUAUCCGGGUUUAUUGGGUUUAAAGGGAGCGUAGGUGGAUUGUUAAGUCAGUUGUGAAAGUUUGCGGCUCAACCGUAAAAUUGCAGUUGAAACUGGCAGUCUUGAGUACAGUAGAGGUGGGCGGAAUUCGUGGUGUAGCGGUGAAAUGCUUAGAUAUCACGAAGAACUCCGAUUGCGAAGGCAGCUCACUGGACUGCAACUGACACUGAGGCUCGAAAGUGUGGGUAUCAAACAGGAGUAGAUACCCCGGUAGUC